UUUAUGGAGAGUUUGAUCCUGGCUCAGAGUGAACGCUGGCGGCGUGCCUAAUACAUGCAAGUCGAACGAUGAAGCUUUUAGCUUGCUAGAAGUGGAUUAGUGGCGCACGGGUGAGUAAGGUAUAGUUAAUCUGCCCUACACAAGAGGACAACAGUUGGAAACGACUGCUAAUACUCUAUACUCCUGCUUAACA
rnacentral:rRNA from 1 species